rnacentral:rRNA from 1 species
GAGCACGUAGGUGGGUUUGUAAGUCAGAUGUGAAAGCCUUCUGUUCAACGGAAGAAUUGCAUCUGAAACUGCGAGUCUUGAGUGUAGGAGGGGAGACUGGAACUUCUGGUGGAGCGGUGAAAUGCGUAGAUAUCAGAAGGAACGCCGGCGGCGAAAGCGAUUCUCUGGCCUAUUACUGACACUCAGUAUGCGAAAGCUAGGGGAGCAAACGGGAUUAGAUACCCCGGUAGUCCUAGCCGUAAACGAUGGGCACUAAGUAGAGGGG